rnacentral:misc_RNA from 1 species
GUCAUCAGGAACUGAUAUUUGAAGAUGUGAAAAUUUCUCGUGUAAGUAAAUUAGCUAUCAUCCAUUCGACCAUAUCAGGCAGAACGAAGCAACUGUGAAGGCACGCACUCUUCAACAAAGUAAAGACCAAAAUGUAUCCAUCAGAAAGUGAUCAUUUUGCCUAUAAAAGGAAAUUCAUUUGAGCAUUGUAGUACCAAGCUGCAAAUCCUGGGAAGAAUAUUGUAACACCCCAAUGUAUUUGAAAUAAAAAAAACAAUUUAUAGAAGUUUUAGGGUGGAAAAUAAGAUUCUAGACAAAUUAAAGGAUCAAAAUGGAAUUUUU